CCCGUAUCUGACUGUGGUCCCAACCUACAUUCCGGGACACCAGGCACAGAUUUCCUUUCCAUGUGCACCCACCCUGUUCCCAGCACAAUGCUUCACCCACAGAAUGUUUGCAAUACUUCUUACAAGAAUGUGCGGGUUCCUGCAACCUCCCCCCUUGUUGCCUGAACAUACCCCCCUGAUGGGCAUGCUGCUGCAGAGGCCCCCUGUCUUCCUGCGAGUUGGCAUCAUGAGACCGUGAAGGAAGGCCAUGUGCUUUUCCAAAGGGAAGUUAGGAAAGAACACGAGGGAAAUCCCAAGCACUUCAGGUCUGAAUUUUCUUCCUGGGCCAGGAACCUCCCCAGAUUUUAUCCCAAAGCACCAAUUUCUCCUGCCCCAGAUGGUUUCAAGCUUACAUUUACCAUGAAUUCAAAUUCAGAGAACAGCUUAAAGGUGAAUAGAUACAUAGCAAAAGCAGUUAUAUGUUUCUGUCUUUAGUCUUCAAAAUUACUUACAUUUUUUCUUUCUGCUAAAAAUAACCAACAUCCUCAUGUAGUAGCAUAUGAUUUCAUAAGAGUUGAAAUUCUAGAAAUGCCAGCUUGGUCACCCACUUGGAAAUUAAACACUUUCUUACACGUGUCUUCAAAGAAGUAAUGCUUGAUUCAUGGAAGUUGUGUGAUAGUUUUGUUGGAUAACAUUAUAAAUGAUUUUUUAAAACUUCAAUAAAAUAAGUGAUGUUAGCAAGUCAUUAAAACUUUCUUGCAGCGAUGAGUUUUUCUUCUUUUAACCAAUCUCCAUCUUCCUCAUAAGUUGCUUGCAGAUCAAAUCUUAUUUAAAUGCUCACACUGGUGAUUCACCAGACAUACCUGGUAAAUCCUUCUGAGGCUAAAAAAUACUCAUACUGAUAUAUACCAACUUUUGUGUUUCAUAGGUUUGGAUUUAAAUUUUGUUAUUUCCCUUAAAGCAGAGCAACUUGUAGCUUAUAUGAUUUAAAAAAUAUUUUGAGUGUCAAAAAAAUGGAUCAUUGCCAUUAAACAUCCAGGCUCCAUAUGCAGAAGUUACCUCCACUGGCAUGUUCUUUGAGCAGGUCACCAAACAGGACCAAGUCUGGGACCGCAUGAACCACGAUGAGAAAGAGCUAGUGUUUUCUCUCAUUAGCCAUGAUUUUAGUGUGCUUUCUUUGCAGGAGCAAAUGUGUCUGAUGAAACCAGUUGAAUACGUAAGAUGUGGAUGCCACGAACCUAAGAGGGAAGGAGACUGGAUGGAAGCACUUGAACGGUUCUCUUCUUGGGGGACAAGUGUAUUAUCUGGAAAAAUUAAUGAGUACUCUUCAGCGUCAUGAAAGACAAAACGAAGCUUCGGGAACAGUCCAGGUAAAAGGAGCCGGGAGAGACACGGCUACCCAAUGCCACGUGUGAUCCUGGAUUGCUUUGACCGACUGAAGGGCAUCAAUGGGCCAAAUCGAAUCUCUGGAUCUGGAAAUUAGGAAAUGCUUACCGAAGUAUCUAGGAGUAAAGAAGAGUUAAAAAGUAUGUAAAGUCCUAAGAGCAAUGCCUGGUACAUAGCCCCACACGGAGUGUUGGCUGUUACUUGCUAACUGGAUUUUCCUGGCGCUGAAUCCCACUCAGUAUCCGAAGGUGCUGCUGUGGCCCUUCAUGGACAGUGUUGCAGGGAUCUGGCUGAUCUCACUGCUCUUUCUUGUCCUGGGUCCCAGCUCUUGGCUUUGGAUCUCAUGCAGUCCUAGAAAAUAUAGGAGAGCUCUCAGGAGUUGCCUUUUCUCAGGCUUAACAUCUCUCUGUUCCUCUGAGCUCCCCUGCCCUCUCCGCCUCUCUCCAUGGCCCCUCUAUGGGCCUCCGUUUCGUGCAUUCGGACUGUGGGAGGUGACCCCACCUCGGGUGCCUGGAGCGGAGUCGGGUGGGCAGGACUGCUCUGCCUUGGCAGAGCAACCCCACUUCUUAAACCCAGAAGGUAACUUGGACAGAUCCAGAGAUGCUCCGCUGAGGAAAGUAUCCCCCGGAGAUAUUCCUAACUUUUACGAUUCCCCUCUUCCCUGGUGGGAUGAGGUAAUCAGGUGGAAUAUGGGGGAAGGGUGUUAAAUAAAAAUGCCUACCCAGGCCAUACGCUGGUUCCCAAGUCAUUGUCUGAAUGACUUUGUAGGGACCAAAGAUGGCCAGGCAAGGGCAAGGGAGCUCUUUCCAAACCCGGUCCUGCAUGGUGGCUAAAUCCUGAACCAACCCUCAAUGACUUCCGCCUCAGGGUGAGUAAGCAGAGUUAAGGAACUUGCUACAUUCACACAGCUGGGAUUUGGAUCAAGGCCUCUGGCUCCGGAGUCCCUGCCCUCCACCACUGCAACAUGCUGCCUCCAGUUGGCUACACAUUUCUAAAGUAAAAAAGAAUCUCGGGGAUGCACCCCUAGGUUCCUGGAAGGCAUCCCCGGGUUCAGGUUGCCUUGAAGACCAGGUGUCUCAGUCUCCCUAACCAGCUGUUUAAAGACCUCCUUGACCUGACCCCUGAGCACUUUUCUGGUGUCAUCUCCUGAUAUGCCUCUGUGCCAUCAGUGAACCAGGCUCAGUGGGUUUUCCUCAAUUCACGCAUUUGUGUUUCCCUGUGCUUUUUGCUUCCUUGAUCUUGAAUCCCUUCUGCCUCUUUACUUAAGAUAAUUCUUUUUUGUUGUUGUAACUCAACUCAACCCAGCUCCUUCAGAUCAAAGUGCCCAGGACCUGUUCUGUGUGCCCAGGGGAUUUGUGCACCUCUGCUACUCUGGAGGGCACCUCUGCUGUUUGCCCCUGCCCCGUGGUGCUCCUCCUUUCUGCUAACAGCCGCCUGGGUUUCCCUGGUCGAGCUGCCCAGAGUGAGCUGCUCUUCCAGGAUCCAUGUCCAUCCUUUUGGGGCAUUCUUGCUCUCUGAACAUAGAAUUUGACUUAGGAACGGACUCAUGACCCAAACCAAACCAAUCACUCCCAAACCCAGCACUUUGGCUCUACUCCGGGGAAAGAAGCAUUGUCUACUGGUCUCACUAAGCUGGUAGGACCCAAACCGCAAACUGUGGGCGGGAUCUUUUGCUGCCCCACAGGAGCAUAGGGUGGGUGCACAAUCUAAGGCUAAAGUCAACACAGAGAGAACAGAGUCAAGAGGUGGAGAAACAAAACAACAGUGCCCUCAUUUGAGCAGCUGGGCUCAGCCAUGCUUUCCAGAAUUUCCUGUGCUUUCCUGGUACAUAAACCAGUGUGAGCCCUUGAACUGGCUUGAGUUGAGGUUCAUCCCUUGCAAGCACGAGGAUCGUCAGUCACCCACGGCCUGAAUGCCUUGUAUUCGGAUGGAUCCCCUGGCCCUCACGUGUGAUUGAUUUCGGGGCCUGAUAUAGCAGGAAUGCUGGGAUGAGUGGCCCUUCUUGCUGUGUGUCAGAGGGUCCUGGUCUGUCCCAGCGGCCUUGGGCGCAUCCCCCAGUGUGCUGUCUUAGCUUAUCUUCAGGAAUUCAAACUUUCUGUAACUGCUGACAGCAAAGCCGUUGCUGUGGGCAAACAUCUUUUCGCUUGUUCCAUUAGAACCACGGCUUAACAGCCUCCUUUUCUUAGAAAACUCUGCCUCGGCCUUGGAAAUGAGAAAGGGAUGAUCCCCCCCAGAGGCUUGCCUCAGGGCACUUUAAA